rnacentral:rRNA from 1 species
AUUGAACGCUGGCGGCAGGCCUAACACAUGCAAGUCGAGCGGAUGAAGGAAGCUUGCUUCCCGAUUCAGCGGCGGACGGGUGAGUAAUGCCUAGGAAUCUGCCUAUUAGUGGGGGAUAACUCGGGGAAACUCGGGCUAAUACCGCAUACGUCCUACGGGAGAAAGUGGGGGAUCUUCGGACCUCACGCUAAUAGAUGAGCCUAGGUCGGAUUAGCUAGUUGGUGAGGUAACGGCUCACCAAGGCGACGAUCCGUAGCUGGUCUGAGAGGAUGAUUAGCCACACUGGAACUGAGACACGGUCCAGACUCCUACGGGAGGCAGCAGUGGGGAAUAUUGGACAAUGGGCGAAAGCCUGAUCCAGCCAUGCCGCGUGUGUGAAGAAGGUCUUCGGAUUGUAAAGCACUUUAAGUUGGGAGGAAGGUCUGUAAGCUAAUAUCUUGCAGUCUUGACGUUACCAACAGAAUAAGCACCGGCUAACUCUGUGCCAGCCGCCGCGGUAA